UACGUAGGGUGCAAGCGUUGUCCGGAAUUAUUGGGCGUAAAGAGCUCGUAGGCGGUCUGUCGCGUCGGAUGUGAAGGCCCGGGGCUUAACCCCGGGUCUGCAUUCGAUACGGGCAGACUAGAGUGUGGUAGGGGAGAUCGGAAUUCCUGGUGUAGCGGUGAAAUGCGCAGAUAUCAGGAGGAACACCGGUGGCGAAGGCGGAUCUCUGGGCCAUUACUGACGCUGAGGAGCGAAAGCGUGGGGAGCGAACAGG
rnacentral:rRNA from 1 species